rnacentral:rRNA from 2 species
UUGCUUCUAUGACGUUAGCGGCGGACGGGUGAGUAACACGUGGGCAACCUGCCUGUAAGACUGGGAUAACUUCGGGAAACCGAAGCUAAUACCGGAUAGGAUCUUCUCCUUCAUGGGAGAUGAUUGAAAGAUGGUUUCGGCUAUCACUUACAGAUGGGCCCGCGGUGCAUUAGCUAGUUGGUGAGGUAACGGCUCACCAAGGCAACGAUGCAUAGCCGACCUGAGAGGGUGAUCGGCCACACUGGGACUGAGACACGGCCCAGACUCCUACGGGAGGCAGCAGUAGGGAAUCUUCCGCAAUGGACGAAAGUCUGACGGAGCAACGCCGCGUGAGUGAUGAAGGCUUUCGGGUCGUAAAACUCUGUUGUUAGGGAAGAACAAGUACGAGAGUAACUGCUCGUACCUUGACGGUACCUAACCAGAAAGCCACGGCUAACUACGUGCCAGCAGCCGCGGUAAUACGUAGGUGGCAAGCGUUAUCCGGAAUUAUUGGGCGUAAAGCGCGCGCA